AGUGUGCUGCCAUUUUUUCUGAGUGUUAGUUUUAAAUAGACUAUUGACAAAUUACAGAUUUUUUUCACGUAUUGAAAUUAUAUUCCAGAUGAUUUUGAGAUUUACUGGUAUAAUAUUCUCCUCAUGAGGUAGGAUGGAAGGGAAGAAAUAGAGAAAAAAUGUUCUGCUCUGAAAUAAAUGUGGUGUUUCCUGACAGCGUUUGUCAAGGGAGGAGGAAAUGAAACCAGGAUGUUUUGAAGAAACAAUGUUGAGUUUUGCAUAAAUAAAGAAGUAGAAUGAAAUUGAAAAUAAUUGGGUAUGUUUAUUGCCGGAGAGUUUCUGCAAUAUGCUACUGCAGUCCAUAUGCUUAUCAAUUAUGAGGAUUUUUGGCUUUCGGCUCUGGAAAAUAUGAGAAAUAUGGGCAAUUACUCUCUGAAGAAAGAGAUGGGGUUCCACCAUGUAGCCCCGGCUGGUCUUGAGCUCAUGAGCUCAAGCGAUUCACCUGCCUCAGCCUCCCAAAGUGCUGGGAUUACAAGUGUGAGCCACCAUUCCUGCCUCUAUACCUCUAAAGGUGUUGAAUAAUUUGAAUGGGAAUUUGAAGGUCCAUGGCUUCCAAACCAGCAGGAGUUAAGGCUUAAUUGCUUGGAAAUACAUUUUCAUGGCUGAUACCAGUAACAGAAAAAUGUCUGUAUGUCAAGAGGCUCUGUACUAAUCAGUUAACCAUAACAUGUGCCACCCCAUACCUUGGGCCAAUGUAACUGUUAACAGCUUGAAGCUAUUAAAAAUGUACCAAUGGAGAACUUUCUUAUACUUUUUUCACUAAUGUGCUUCUUCA
rnacentral:lncRNA from 1 species